GCCCGAAGGUGAUCCUCCAGGGUGGGGAU
rnacentral:sRNA from 1 species